UGCAACUCGCCUGCAUGAAGCUGGAAUUGCUAGUAAUCGCGGAUCAGCAAGCCGCGGUGAAUACGUUCCCGGGCCUUGUACACACCGCCCGUCACACCAUGAGAGUCGGGAACACCCGAAGUCCGUAGUCUAACCGCAAGGGGGGCGCGGCCGAAGGUGGGUCCGGUAAUUGGGGUGAAGUCGUAACAAGGUACC
rnacentral:rRNA from 1 species